GCCUUCGUGAUGUAAUGGGCAGCAUGCUCGGCUCGCAUUCGAGAGGCCCGAGGUUCGAGUCGCGGCGAGUGCA
rnacentral:tRNA from 1 species